rnacentral:lncRNA from 1 species
UUUAAAUUAUACGAGUACUUUGCAUGUUUCUUUGAGUGCAGGCCUAGGAUAUUGUUACAGAAUGAAGAGAGUCAAUGGCUCUGUUUUAACAUUUUCUUGUCCAUAGGUCUUGAAUGAUUCUGCUUACUCCAGUCUUCAUUUAUCCCAGCACUAGGAUACAAGAUUUCAGAGGUCACUUUUCCCCUUGAAAUUCUCCAUGUUUUUCGACUUAAAGAAAAAUGUUCAUGUUUUAGUAAAAGAACUCAUCCAAAUUUGAAGGAGAUUAGACAGAUCAGAUGUCAUUCCAAGCAGAUGUUUUUCAAAAGCCAAGUGGUCAAAAACGAAGUUUGUCUGCAGAGUUGCCAUCCCAGAUGGAAUCCAUCAUGCAAUGUUAUAUGUCAAAGGAAAACAUUUCUUAAAGCUGCUGAAAAAAAUGUCUAUUAAGGAAAUAAGCGCUGCUGAAGGAGAGACACGUGUUGUGUAUUUCUUCAAUUAGUGGACAGCAAGCAAUUAUGUGAAGCAGCUGGGUUACAAGAAGGACUGAUCACGUUAUUACACGCAGAGGAAUUAUGGAUUAUGAAAAGAUGAACAAUGUAAUUAUGCUCACAGAGUGUCACUUAUUAAUUUUUAAGGUGAGAUGUGUAAUAAUUUCAUAAUAGCUAUAAAAAUCAGAGCAAAUGUCUGAAUUUCUAAGGGUCUGCAAGGUUAAAAUUGGUCCAUGGCUUUAAUUUUGUUAAAAUGUGAUCCAGUGGCUGACAGUGCUCAUUGUUCAAGUGGAGUGAAAUCCUGCAGAUAAUGAAGAGAG